rnacentral:rRNA from 1 species
UGGUGGAGUGAUUUGUCUGGGUAAUUCCGUUAAUAAACGAGACCUCUACCUGCUAAAUAAUUACAUGUAACCUCGGAGACAUGGGCAACUUCUUAAAGGGACUUUACAUGUCUAACGUAAGGACGUUUGAGGCAAUGACA